AUGAUCACGCGAAAUAAGCUCAGGUACACGCCGAGGCAUGCGGGGCCUGCCAGACGCCGGCCCCAAACAGCCAGAUCUCCUCCCUGGUGUCAGAAAGGGUGCCUGCCCCGGGCCCCAAGGGGGAGGGGGCCAGAGGCUUCCCAGGGGCUUGGGGUCGGGGAGGGCCUCAGCACCCCGUACUGCCCAGCCUCUCCCAGAUUGGCCCCUCUGGAGGGCCUGCGUCCUCCAUGGGGCAGCGGUGGCUCCGAGUGGCUCGGUGCUCCCCAGGUCCACACCUCACCUGGGACUCCCUUCCACCUGUAUGGGGCAGGGGCAAAUGCCUGCGGUCAGGCCCCAGGGCUCCAAUGCCCUCAGAUCCAGGCCUGCCUCCCCCUCCCCCGGGAGAGGGCCUGGCUCCCCAGUCAAUGGCGACCUCUCACCCCUCCCCCAAACAUGCCCCAGGGCCCUAUUGCUACGGUCAGGGAGGUGUCCCUCCUCCACCAGAGUAGGGGGUGUGGGUGGCCCACAGGAGGCUGGGACAGGAGCCCCCUCUUCAGGGUCCCUGCAGGGGCUCCACGCCCUGCAAGACGUUUCCAAGGCUGUAUCCCGCCACCAGCAGAACUUUCUGGGAAAUCUGGGUCAUUUUACCAGGAACCUACCCGCGGGAGGUCACUGUCAUUGAUGCUAUCAACCGCCUUCCCCUUGAGGCUCCCCAGUCCUCCCUCCAAGGGGCAACCGCCCCCAGGAACCUGUUCUCUUCAGAAGAGGGUCAGCAGCAGCCAGAACUGCCUCAAACUUUGGCGUGCUGGGGUUCCCAGUGCCCUUGGUCAGGACCCCAGGUCAGCCUGCAGGCCUGGGACACGGUGCUGGGCAGGUGGGCGGCUGAGGGAGCCACCGGCGCAGCAGGUGAACUCUGCGGCCGGCCUCCCUUCUGGGGAGCGACCUCGGGGCUCCCCGCGCGGCUGGCCGGCCUGCACAUGGGGGGCUCCGUUCCCAGGACCCCAGGGACUUCCACCUGGCCACGGGCACUCGCCCCCAGCCUGGGCAGCCCCUGCCUCGCCUGCUCCCGCCCGCCCGCGCUCCCCCCGGCCACGGUCUCCGAGAACCCACCCCGGGUGCCGUGCACCCUGCGCCAGCCUCAGGGGGGCCUGGGCGCCCAGCGCGGGGAGGUCGGGCGGGGGACGCAGG
rnacentral:lncRNA from 1 species